rnacentral:rRNA from 1 species
GACGAACGCUGGCGGCGCGCUUAACACAUGCAAGUCGAACGGAAAGGCCUGCUUUCCCUUGUGGAUUGCGGGUACUCGAGUGGCGAACGGGUGAGUAACACGUGAGUGAUCUGCCCCCAACUUGGGUAUAAGCCUGGGAAACUGGGUCUAAUUCCCGAUAGGACUGCAGGGUGGUGCCUGUGGUGGAAAACGAUUUUCUAGUGGUUGGGGAUGAGCUCGCGGCCUAUCAGCUUGUUGGUGGGGUAAUGGCCUACCAAGGCGGCGACGGGUAGCCGGCCUGAGAGGGUGGACGGCCACAUUGGGUCUGAGAUACGGCCCAGACUCCUACGGGAGGCAGCAGUGGGGAAUAUUGCACGAUGGGCGGAAGCCUGAUGCAGCGACGCCGCGUGGGGGAUGACGGCCUUCGGGUUGUAAACUCCUUUCGACCGCGAGGAAGCCACCUGGUUGGAAGGGUGGUGACGGUAGUGGUAGAAGAAGCACCGGCUAACUACGUG